AUACGGAGGAUCCAAGCGUUAUCCGGAAUCAUUGGGUUUAAAGGGUCCGUAGGCGGUCUUAUAAGUCAGUGGUGAAAUCUCCCCGCUCAACGGGGAAACGGCCAUUGAUACUGUAGGACUUGAAUUAUUAGGAAGUAACUAGAAUAUGUAGUGUAGCGGUGAAAUGCUUAGAGAUUACAUGGAAUACCAAUUGCGAAGGCAGGUUACUACUAAUUGAUUGACGCUGAUGGACGAAAGCGUGGGUAGCGAACAGGAUUAGAUACCCUGGUAGUCCACGCCGUAAACGAUGGAUACUAGCUGUUGGAAGCAAUUUCAGUGGCUAAGCGAAAGUGAUAAGUAUCCCACCUGGGGAGUACGUUCGCAAGAAUGAA
rnacentral:rRNA from 1 species